rnacentral:rRNA from 1 species
UACGAAGGGGGCUAGCGUUGUUCGGAGUUACUGGGCGUAAAGGGCGCGUAGGCGGCGCAUCAAGUCAGGCGUGAAAGCCCUGGGCUCAACCCGGGAAUUGCGCUUGAGACUGGUGUGCUUGAGUACGGGAGAGGAUAGUGGAAUUCCCAGUGUAGAGGUGAAAUUCGUAGAUAUUGGGAAGAACACCAGUGGCGAAGGCGGCUAUCUGGACCGGAACUGACGCUGAGGCGCGAAAGCGUGGGGAGCAAACAGG